UACGAAGGGGGCUAGCGUUGUUCGGAAUUACUGGGCGUAAAGGGCGCGUAGGCGGUGCCUCAAGUCAGGCGUGAAAGCCCCGGGCUCAACCUGGGAAUUGCAUUCGAGACUGCAUUGCUGGAGUACGGAAGAGGAAGGCGGAAUUCCCGGUGUAGCGGUGAAAUGCGUAGAUAUCGGGAGGAACAUCAGUGGCGAAGGCGGCCUUCUGGUCCAGUACUGACACUCAAGUGCGAAAGCGUGGGGAGCGAACAGG
rnacentral:rRNA from 1 species